UACGUAGGGGGCAAGCGUUGUCCGGAUUCAUUGGGCGUAAAGAGCUCGUAGGCGGCUUGGCAAGUCGGGUGUGAAACCUCCAGGCUCAACCUGGAGACGCCACCCGAUACUGCCAUGGCUAGAGUCCGGUAGGGGACCACGGAAUUCCUAGUGUAGCGGUGAAAUGCGCAGAUAUUAGGAAGAACACCCGUGGCGAAGGCGGCUCACUGGCCCGGUACGUGGACGCUGAGGUGCGAAAGCGUGGGGAG
rnacentral:rRNA from 1 species